ensembl:lncRNA novel transcript
AUACCAUUUCUCUCUCUGGUAUUCAUCUGUUCUUCCAGCUGCUCUUUUUGUGCAGACUGCAGCUGGCUGUGCAGCACUGUGGAUAAACUGCUGGUGCAAAUGUACAGAGAGGUCUGGACUGGGCGACUCCAGGAAUGGGGGAGAUUCUCCUUCAUAGACCAAUUUAGAAGUCACUUCCUCCAAGACGAUUGCCUUGAAUCAUUGACUGGAUUAUUUCUCCGCUGUGUGUUCUUCUAACAGCCUGAACAGAGCUAACACCAACACCGAGACACCACCAUGAACUCACCAGCCAUUGACUUCUCUGUUCUAUAGCUUUUUGCCUCUUUGGAAUAGGCAUGUCAUGGGUGCAGACAUCCAGCCCUUCAUAGACACUGCCAGCCGUUAACCCGAAGCCCUGCACAGCCACUUCCUCUCUGAACAGAAAAGACUGCCACAAGGGGAGAGACGGUCUUACCUUCCUGAGCCUGCCCUUGCCAGAGGAAGCCACUGCCACCGCAGAAGCACUUAGGAGCCUUUCCCACCUCCUUGCACUGAGACUUAUGGAACUCUUGAGGGCCCUAGUCUGUAAAAGUCCAUCCCCGGCCUGGCGCAGUUGCUCAUGCCUGUAAUCCCAGCACUUUGGGAGGCUGAGGUGGGUGGAUCAUGAGGUCAGGAGUUCGAGACCAGCCUGGCCAACAUGGUGAAACCCCAUCUCUACUAAAGAUACAAAAAAUUAGUCAGGCAUGAUGGUGCACACCUAUAAUCCCAGCCACUUGGGAGGCUGAGGCAGGAGAAUUGCUUGAACCCAGGAGAUGGAGGUUGCAGUGAGCCGAGAUCGCACCAUUGUACUGCAUCCUGGGUGACAGGAUGAGACUCCGUCUCAAAAAAAAAAAAAAAAAUCUAUCCCCAGAUCACGGUGCGCCUGUGAGACAGAGCUGUCAAUGUCCUCUUUCCCUUCCUUCUCAUUUGCUGUUUCAAUAGGGCUUCAUCAGCCUGAGUUCUUUAUUAGAAUUGACCUGCAUCAAUCCAGUGCCCCCCUCAUACCACCUACUAGGGAAGGCUGCAUUCUACAUUACGGUCUUCAGGGAUCCUCUCUGGGGCCCCACAUGCUUCCCUUUUUGUUUACCUGUGUCUCGGGGCAAUUUUAAUCUUAGUCUUAUACUUUUCAUUUAAGCAGGUUAGGCUACACUAUACACUUACAGAUUUUGCCAGUAGAAGCUUUGAGACUUCACAUCUUGUAAAAUAAAAAAAAAAAAUUGUACUAAAGAUAACAAUGUUUAUGGUUGUGAAGCUUUUUUUGUAAGCAAAUAGUCUGGUGAAACUGAAGUUCAAAGGUGUUUGUGUUGGGUAGCUGUGUCAGUAUGCUUGAUUUAUGGUAAGGCCAAGUCUGUUGGAUUAGAUAUUAGAUAUUCACAGUAAUGUCAAAACUAAGGAAUAUAGUCUGAAUAAUUACAAUAACUAUUUUAUAUUAUUGCAAACAACUUAAAAACUAUUGUGACUUGAUUGAUUCAUACUAUGCAUGGAUACAGUUUCAAAACCUGUUUAGACCAUCAGAAAGUUUUAAUGAAUAAUGUUAGCAAAAUAACCACAAGUAAAGUGUUACCGGAAAAUGCAGUAUAAGCAUCACACUGACAGUUGUAGCUGACCCUUUUGUUUUGAUCAGUGGUUCUCGAUGUGUACCAAAAUUACUUGGUGAGAUUUCUUUUUAUUGUGGGAAUAACACUUAGCAUGAAAUCUAACCUUUAAACAAAACUAAUGUGCAAUAUGAUAUUGUUAACUCUAGGUACAAUGUUGCAUAGCAGAUUUCUAGAAUGUAAUUAUCUUGUAUAAUUGAAACUUUACACCAAUUGAAUGGCAGCUCAGUUCUUCCUUCUCCCAUUUUCCUGGCAAUUAUCAUUCUGUUCUCUGCUUCUCUGUGUUUGACAUAAUGCUAAGUGAAAUGAGCCAGUCACACAAGGACAAAUCUUUCAUUGAAGGAGUCUUUUAUCACCAAAAGUAUUUAGAAUUCCUGGCACUUGGUGAUAAUAAAAGCAAAACCAUUUCACUUGG